ensembl:lncRNA
UCCGGGUGUGCUGUCUGCUGCUCUCGAGACGGACGAGAGAGAGAGAGAGAGGGGGAGACCGGAGAGCGACGAUCACGUCUCCUGGAGUACGAGGCAGAAGAAGAGGAAGAAGAAGAGGAGAGGAGUCAGGACACUCGGAGAAAACUAAUAAAUCGACCCCCCCCCUCCCCACUCGAGUAUACUCGGAGUCGGCGUCUGGGAAAAAAACACCAAGGGAAGACCCCCUGUCUUCGUGACAUCUCUGUUGAGUGCCCAGCGCACCCCUCCCAGCCCACCCCCCCAAAGGAACGACCACCCAUAGGAAGAGCAAGUUGACCAGCGUCGCCAGCAGGCGAUGCACUUAGGAAGACACCGACGACCCUCGCGCCUCUGGUCUCGAACGCAUGACAGCCGAAGACGUCUUAAUUUUCCUGACGGCAACAGUUAAGAAUACGGAUUUUGGUGUUUACAUUUUUUUUCUUUUUGACGGAUCGGCUAUGGCAAGACGAUAUAUCACUUCACGGCAACGUGUUUAAGUAUCAAGCCGUAUAGUCUGCUCUAUAGCUGUGGAAUUAACCAUUAACGUGCAGUGUGGCGUUAUGUUUUUUUAGUGUUUAAAUUUAUGCUGACAAUGGUCUGGGAACGGGCCGCCUCGAUGGACACCUAGUAUCGUUUUUUCCCCGUUUUGUAUUUCAUAUAUAUACUCGACUAGACGACAUCACGUUUCAAGAAGUCGUUCGUCCUCCUUUUUUGCGGAAAGUCUUGCGUGGGAAGUUUGCGCCGAAGAGGGAACAAGUCGUAGAGAACUCUGCGGCAUCCACAUCAUUGUACUCUACGGAAAUGACUGCGAGACACCCCUCCCUCCCUCCCGGAGUUACCCGACGUUUGCUGGACUGAGCUGAACUCCUCAGCACGCAGCCAGACGUGUGAGUGUGAGUGUGUGUGUGUGUGUGUGUGUUUGUGUGUGUGUGUGUGUCUUUAUGUGCAUGACCCUGUGUGUGUGGGUGUGCGUGCCUAUCGUUGUGCACGGCGCUCCUCAAGGUUACAUAACACCGACGGC